AUUUUUCACCUAACAAUAUAAAAAAGGCCCGGGUGUAUGUGUAAAGAUUUUCCAAAAAGUCCACUAAAAAGUCUCAGUAAAUGACCACCGUCUUGUCUCGUCUCAUUUCAUUUCAUUUCAUACCGUGUUUCAUAUUAAUCAACUUCUUUUCAUUUCAUUCCAUAUUAUCAUUUUUCAUAAAAAUUAAGAAUCUAUAUUAAAAUAAGACUUAACCUAAAGGUCUUAGUUACCGGGUCAUAAAAUCCUUUAAAAAAUAGGUCAUUUAUACCAAAUAUAUUAAGUGUAUAAUCUAUGAUUUAUACUUGUGGAAGGGAGUAGGUAAAUAAAAAUAAACAUUAUUUAGCUGCAAAUUUGUCUGUUUCACACAUAGAGAGCGUACCAUGAUAUCUGAAAUGCAAUUAGUCGUCAGCAUAAAUGAUACAAUAUUGCAUACACUGACCAAUGAAAUCAAAUCAGGCCAAAAUAAUGUAAACGCCUUACAAGAAUUUCAAAAAGAUGUCAAUUUAUUACUUACGAAGAUGAUAGGAGAUCUUCUUCACUCAGGUAACAAUGAAAUGGUUGAAGAUGAAUACUGCUCAACUGAUGAUGACCAACCACCUAUAAGCCCUAAAAAAACUAGAAAAUAAAAUUUAGUACAAACCAAUUUUGAAUAAAACAUAA